AGGUGUAUCACGGCGACGUUCUGAAGCAAGGAUGAAGUCUAGGCGUCGGACAGAAAAACAUGAAGGUCGCCGGGAAGGUCAACAGUCUGGUCAGCAAGCAGAUUCCACUGCCCCCGACUGUGAUAGCAAUGUUUACGAAGACUUAAAGAAAACAGGUGUUGAAAUCAAUCAAGAGAGGGU